AUGGAACAAUCAAAAAUUAUAGAUACGACGGAGAUGUAUCACCAACCAGUAUCAUCGCCUAUUCUCACGAACAGCGAAUUUAUCAGCAUUGGUCGUCCAUUGACGCCAAUUGCUCAGGACACAUCGUGGGCUGAUCACCCCCAAGACACACCAAGCCAAGACACACCCAGUACUCCCCCUCCUCAAGUUACCACUCUGGUACUUGAUGGUGACAAUUACUUGGUGAAGACCACCCCAUCUCCAAAAGCGUUACCCGCAUUGCGCAGGCUUCGCAAAGGCCCUGGGCCACAGGUCGCCAUGCUGAGUGUUCCAGAAGGAGAAGUGCAAAACAACCCAGUGGCACGACAAGUGUUUCCUGACGCCACUCCAACUGCGAACAUCUAUGAGUAUGAAGCCAAAGUUGCUGAUGACAUUCCGGCUGCAUCAGCCGAUGACCAAGAAGAACCCUGUCAAGAAGAAGAGCAUGUUGCCACACCCCCUAUCAACCCAGAAGUUGUUCUCAAGAAGAACGAGUCUGUGCCCAACCCUCCAGCUACUCAGGUGGAGGUUGACAAUAUUGAGGCGGCCACCCACAACACUACAAAAGCCAAUGACGUUGUCAUGGCUGAAGCUAAUGUGGCGCCUGAAAUAAAUACGGUGCUUGAAGCCAAUGCUGCACCUGGAGAAAAUCUGCAGCUCGAAGUCAAUGCCUCUGCUCCUGUACCACCUCCAAGACCUCACACCAUUGAGCAAGCAUACGUUCGUGGUCAACUUGUCACCAUCCAAUGGCCCAUUCUGGUUCCUCCGCCUACUCCGGGACCACAGUUUUCCUAUCAUCUGGAGCACAGGCCUCAGGUCCAUAAGCCAAAGCCCAGGCUGCCAAGGUUUCCAGGUACUGCGACUUCGCCAGGAUCAUUCAAUGUGAAUGGCUUCAAAGCACACAACACCUUCUUUGAUAGUGCCAAGAACCCAUAUUCGCAGCCAAGGAUCUCAUCAGAUCGGUUCUGGAGCUAUCAGCAACGCAGUUAUUAUUCUUGUGUAUUAUACAAUCAAGGGCGCAUUUUUCCUCAUAUGCGUCUAGACUGUGAAGCCAUCUCUGGCCUGCCCUGCUUGGAAGAAGCCCUAGACUGCUUCAAAGAUGCUAGCCUUCUGCAGUUUGUGACCAACAAAGAAAAUUAG
rnacentral:rRNA from 1 species